AGCCAGCCAAACCAGCGGCUCCUGAGACACCUGCAACCCCACCUCCCCAGGGAGGUGAAUCUCAACCUAAUUCUGGGGAGCCCAAUGCCAACCAGACCGAAAAUGCACAGAAUGCUGCUGGCGAGGCACCUCCGGCUUCCGAGGAACCAAUGGAGACGGAGAAGACAGAGACUACUGCUUAAGUUGGGUGGGUUUAUUUUAAUGAUUUAUGCAGGCCAAACAGCUUCAGUAUGUAUAAGAA
rnacentral:lncRNA from 1 species